rnacentral:rRNA from 1 species
AUGCGCUCGCAAGUUGAUCUUAUGAUCGAGGGAGUUCCUUCCCAUGCAUGGACGACGGAGACUGUGGCUGAGUUACUUGGUUCGGUGUGCUUGAUUGAGAGUAUGGUGCCAGAAACUGAGAACAGAGAAGAUCUCUCCCUCUUCAAGUUGCGAGCUUGGUGCGUCGACCCGGAGGAGGUGCCGAUGGACAAGCGCCUCUGGGUGCCCGAGCCGGAAAUGAAUGUAGGGCCGGGCGCACGAAUGCCUAUGUCCCGGGCAUUGCUGGAGUACAAAACCUUCAUACACAUCGGGAGAAUCCAUGAUCAUGAGGGUCUUGAGCGUUGGUUGAGACCGCCUAGCUCAAAUGGAAGCGGACAAAGUGAAAUGCCGAAGGACUUUGGGGACUACUCUGGCCAGGGCGAAUGGCGUGUGCUGCCAUGGACUAGGGGCGUUCGUGAUCACCGUGGUGGUGCACCGGCUGGUGGCGCCACAGGUCGCUCAUACAGACAGGCCCUUGUUGGGCGCAUUGGGCCAUCGAACUGGCAGAUCCCACCGAUGGCCUCUCGCAUGGCGACGAUGGCAUGCGCGCUCAGUGGCAGUACCAUGGGGACUGUGACGAAUCAGAAUCAGGACGAGGUGGCCGCCGCCGCACGCGCUCCACCAGCGCUGCAGCCGCUGUUGGCCACAGAAGAUCCGGGGAGGAGUUCAGGAGUAAGGCCUGCACAUGCUCAGGUGGUGGCCAAUCCGGCGCAGCUCUCUGUGCUGGGGCAGGAUAAGGUCACUUUUGACCAGGUAGAGAUAAGGAUUGGAGCCAACUAG